GCAAACAUGGGAAAGUAGACAUCCUGAACAUCAGCUGCUUGUGUGUCAAAAGCCAAAAGGAAAACCACCAGAGGAAUGUUUAACAAAGUCGUUGUCGAUAUGUUUUAUGAACUUGGUCGUCUGAGUCAGCUGGAAGAUCUACAUGCACUAUUUUCUUUGUCUAGCAUCCAUGUCAAAGUGUCCCUGAGCAAGACACCAAACCCUGAACUGCUGACCGGGCGGCUCCCACGGCUGCACACCACUACGCCACUCGGCUUGAUGGCCGGUCCUCCUCUUGCAUAAAGCAUGAGGCAGCAGCAGAGACACCCAAUCCUCUCCUUUCGGUUGAGUUGGCGUGAGGCUGCUGCAGCACUCGGGCUCCGUCUCUGUCCUCCUUUGGCCCCCGAGGCGUCGCUGAGCCCCAAUGAGAGUGACACACCAAAAAGUACACUCUGCAGGACGAUAACGCAGAGAGGCCGAGAGAAGAAGAAGUUUCACCACGGAGGCUUUAGGCUUUAGACGGCGGGGUCAGACCUCGGCUCCCGAGGGGGGGGGGCCCAGCUGGAGCCAGACACG
ensembl:lncRNA